rnacentral:lncRNA from 1 species
CCCCAGAAUGCGUGGCAGUGCCGCCGCUUUCUUAUCCGGAAGCGGCUAAGGAAUUCUUAGCGCGCAUGCGCUCAUGGGAUUCUUCUCAGUCUUUGGGAACUAUAUUUCCCAGCGGGCUCUGGGGCUCGUGAGAGGCGAACACCUUCACUAGUGAGCGCUCCCAGAGCGUCCUCUUAACCCAUCCCUUAGCAAAGGCUCUCCGGAAAUCCGCGGCGUGUCAGGAUUCGGUCAGAGAAGGCUCAGUUGACCUAAAGUUGUCUUCGUCAUUGUCUUGCUGCUUGCAGGUGGCAGUAAGAUUCUCGUCCUUAAAGUUCUUACAAAGAAAAUACUGUGAACGCCGUGGGAAAGCUACUGGAGCGUUGCAGGAAAGUGGCUUGAGUUGAGAAAUCUCCCUUCUGAACUCCCAAAGAAACCCAACCCCUAUUAUUACCGUCUUUAAAAGUUUAACGAGCGUUCCCCUGGAGACGUCUUAUUUUACCUUCAAGACUGCUCCCUCAAAACCUGGCCGGAGGUCCUUCUUUUCAUGUUCACACCUGAUUACCACUCCCUUUACUACUGAUGUUUCUCCUGACUCUGCUCAGUACCGAAUCCAUUGCAAAUCAGGCACAGCCCACCGGGUCUUAAGGUCCUGCGCUCAGCACUCCCACUCCUCCACUUGCUAUCAUUUGUCCAUGUCGGCACUCCAAAAGCCUACUCCAUGCUUGCCCUGUAGACUGGCACUGUACAAAACAGACCACCCAUCUCCUCUGUUAUCCCUUGUGCAGAACUAUACUUUUAUAAUUCGAUGCUGCUGGGACUUUUUUGGGAAGGCCCACAUUGGGUGAGUGACAGAGGUUGCUUGGGAAGUUAUAUUGGAGGAAGGAAAGGGAGUAGGGGAAGGGGAGGAAGAGAGGGAAGAGAGAGAGAAGAAAGAAAGAGAGAGGCAAAGACCUUA